UUUUUUUAUACAUUUCAUUUCAAUCUUUUUUGUUUAUAAAGAUACAUGAAGAAAACAAUGACACAAUGAUUUAAAUGAAUAUAAUACAAUGAUUACGACAUGAGGUAAUGACAUUAUAUACUCUUAAUGAUGAAAUAAUCCCUGAAAAAGAGUAUAUAUCAUACUGUUAAAACAAUUCUACAUUUGUAUCAAAAUAAUGAAAGAAAAUAGAAUACUUGGCUAAUGGUUUUAAGAUUGAUAUGAAACACCAAGUAAUAGCUGAGGGAACCCAUUUAGCAACAUCAAAAAUGCUGAUCUUCUUCUUCAUUCAAAUAUUAAAAUACCUCGUAAUCAUCAAAUCAAACUUGAGCAACAGAUUGAUUUCUAUCAGAUGAAAAAAUAAUUUUACAAGUAAAUCAUAUUUAUUAAAAUAUUGAACAAAAAAAAAAUUACAUUUAGAAGAGUUUUAAACCCUCAGUAUAUAUAUAUAUGUAUGAGUCAUACUUAUAUUUCUGAUGGUAGUUUAUGAAGCAUUAACAUGAAAAGUUGGCUUGACCAAAGACAAAACUUGACACAAAUGUAGAACUGGUUUGACAAUCAAAGACCUAGCCAACACUGAGAAACUACUACUAUAACAUAAUGAAAGCUUAAGAAAACAAUAUCGUUCUUUGACACAACUUGCACAUACAACAGAAUUCAUUGCAAUUAUUAAAAAGAAAUUCAUGGUUUUACCGCAUCAGAACAUAUGUAGCAAAAACAACAACAAAAAGAAACUUGAGGCCCAAAGAAGCUUGUACUGCUCACCUGACAACUGUGCAUAGUACUUACUCAAUCUGAUAAAUAUUUUCUAGAAUAGGACCAUAAUUGAAACAUUUAUCUAAAUUUGACUAAUUUUUAAUGUUUAACCAGAUAUUUAAGUUGUAAACUAUUCAUCAUUUCCUUCCAAUUGCCUUAAGUUUUCAAAAAGUUAUUAUUUUCUGAUCAAGUUCUAUGAAUGGAAGUGAGCAUCUAUGAUUUUAGGUGAGGCAUUUUUAUGAAAAACUUAAUUUGAAAGAAAACAUUGGAAAUCAAUCUUGUAAAACUUAUUAAAACUGUAAUAUUAUGUAUAGAUAGAUUUUUAAAAGAAUUCCCAAAAGUUUCUUACAUACUAGUAAUAGAGGUCACACAGCUGGUUUUUCAAUGCUUUCCAUUGGAUAGAUUUUAGAAAUUUAACACUCAAAGGAUGAUUGAGGUUACUGAUUUCAGAAAGGCAAAUACAUUGAAAAAGUUUAUGGACAGGUGUCAAGUGAUAGCAAUAACUCAUUUUGGCUUCAUAACCAAAGCUAAAAAUGUUCAAACUGAAAAUAAAAUUUCUUACAGUAGCUAUUUUCAUGUAAGCAAUUAUACAUAAGGAAAAGAAACAGGGUUAAGUGAUUCAGAGUUUUAAUUUUUAUCAUGAAAAUGCCCAUUGUAUUAAAAAAUCAAAUUUAAAUUUGAUUUGAAAUGAAAAAUUUCAAUCCAUAUUCGUGUGCCUCAUUUUAAAUAAUUUUAAAUAUUUUUUAGAGAGAUUGUCCUUGAACAGUUCAUAAAUAGGACGGAACGAUACUGUCUUAAAUAAUGGCUUUCAACCGGUUACAUUAUUUGAGGUAGAUUAUGAAUGCAUCUGUUAUUUUGAGCCAUAGUGUACUCUGCAAUUGGCUGAAUAUUAUAUGUAUGCACUUAUAACACUUAAUUAAUGUCGUGAAUUAUUCUAUCAAUGCAAUUUGAUACUCAAAAAUUUCAAAGCACAAUAUUAAUACCUUUUUAUAGAGAUGUCUAAAAACAUAUAACACUGUGUGUUUCAUUUUAGUAAACUUUUCCUCUAUUAAAAAUAUCAUUAUUAUAUAAAUCUUUCAUCAUAUCAAUGUUCUGAAAUUCUUUGUGAUGCUACAAAUUCACAAGAAAUUGUCGAUGGUGUCCUUUGUAUACAUUACACUUCUUUCCGUUUUUAAACAUGAUUUUUUUUGGACUUGAAUAUUAUAAACAGCCAAUAGCAAAUACAUUUUACCAUACAAUCAAAUGUAUAAAUUUUAUGAAUGAUUUGAUAAUAGGUUACAAACAACAUUUGUAACAAGAUAUUGUAUAAGUCAAUUUAAUUUUAAAUUUUUUCCUUCCAUUUACAAGUUUAAAAUGAAAAUGACAUGCAAUUUAAUGUUAUAUGAAUUAAAAACAUGAUUUAAUGCCACAGUCCUUAUAUACAAUUAAGGAAACACAAAUUUAUGGCAGUGUUCUGAAAUGCUUUACAAAAUAUUCAAUGCCAUUGCAUUUUAAAGACAAUAAGCAAAAUAUGGAGAAAAUUAAAAAAAUUAGCAUAAAUAAUCAUUGUAAAUUGCUUUUUCUUUUUCCUAUAGUUCCAAAAACUUUUACAGGCUAAAGAUAUUGAUGAAAUAAAACCAAAUUUUGGGAAAUAAAUAUGACAAUUAAGACAUUAAAUCUCCUAUGAUUUAUAAAAUAACAGUAAUAUAACUUCCUGCAUUGGUAACGUAAAUAAUCACACUGAAAAUAUAUCCCUAAAAUGCAUGUAGUUCUGUAUUUCUUGUAUGUGUUUGUGUAGCAAUUCAAACAAAAUAAACAACUAUACAAUACACUAUAUAAUGUAACAAAUGAGGUAGAAAGUCUGCUCGCUCACUUUUACACGUUAAAGGAAAUUAGUUUUUUCAUUGUUCUUUUAAUCAUUCAUGUUUCUAAACAGUGUAACAAUAUAUAAAAUUGAUCAAAACAGUAAGCAUACUACAUACAACCUUGAUGGUAGCACUGUGCUAUCUUUUGAGUAUGUAGGAAGAACAAUUACAUAUUCAAGGAGCUAACUCUCAGAAAAUAAUUCUUUGAGUUAUUUCACAUUUAUAACAUUGUUUAGAGACACAAAAUUAAGUUAUAUUUCUUAACAAAUAGAAAGUGAAACAAGCAAAUAAGAAUGAAAACAUGACAACAAGUUAGACAACCUUUACAAUAGUAUAUAUAUAUCAUACAAAUAAUACAUUCACCUCCAGGAAUCAUGUGAGGUCAGCAAUAUUCUAUAGACUACAGACACACGUUUUAGGAAGCUAGAUUAAGAUAAAAUGUGCACCUUUUAAUUAUUACGAACAUUCAGAAUAUUAAGUUAUAUAAUUUAAAACUUGAUUAUUUUUCACAAAGUUAUUUUGAACCUUAAAUAUUUCUUUUUCUUCCAUGUAUCACAUAUGUCAUCUGAAAUGAAUUCAAUCUAAUGCAUAAUAACUUACCGUUAUGGUGUGCAUCAAAAUUUACAAUAUACGAAAAAAUGAUAAUGCAUUGAAUACCACCUCUAUUUAGUUGGGAGAUACCUGCUUCUGUAAAAGGCUUCAUGUGUAUCGAUGCUGCCUUAUGAAUGAAUUCUCACACAUCCUAUUUUUUUUCAAAUAAAGAAAAAGUAAAUAAAAACUUGACAGAACAAUAUUCCACAAUUUCCACAAUUUCAAAAAAAAAAUCAGCAAGAUAUGGCACAAAGAAAAAAACUUAAAAUUAAAAUUUUGUAGCACUUCAAAGGGUUUUAG
rnacentral:lncRNA from 1 species